UUUCGAAGUAAACAAACAAAACAAGUCACCUUACUUUUGAGUUUUUUUUUGUUCAUCGCUUGAUCCCAGCCGGCCCGGAACUGGACCGUGAAUUACCGUCACCACCGGCCAAGGCUACCGUCGAUUCCCCGCAGGGCUACUUUAAGUGUAAAAGUGCGGGAUGAUUUGCAACGGAUUCAUGCACAACCACAAAUAUUCACAACAAAGAACCGACAAUCCUCCCUCAAAUUCCAUCAUCAGAAUCGCCGAACGUGCUGUCGGUUGCGUUGACCGAGGUCAAGGAACGGAACAAGUAGAAUUGGGGUGUCCGGGAGGAUUUGGUCCAGUUUAAGUCUACGCCUCGCCAUUACAGAGUGUGUUCGCUUUGACAGAAGUGGUCCGACUGCUGUCGGAGAAUGUGUCCCGCCAGCAGGGCGUCCGGAUCGGGGGGCUCGUUCCAGGCGGUUGAUCUUCUAACGAAGAGCCGAUCUUCGAAAAUCAGGAUUUGAAACCGCAUUCGUGGCUUAGGCGCCUUUGUGCGUGGUGCCAUGGAACUGAGUCUAAAUCCUCCACUGGACAUCAACCAGAUCGUCAAACCGAGCACGUUGCACGCUUCUCCUCCUCCAACUUCAAGCACCGGAACUCACGUCACGGGGAGCACCAUGCCAACGGAAUCGACGGCGCCCAGCAGUAUCCAGCUGCAGGACGGACAUCAAGGCAGAUUUGUACUGCCAGAUAAGAUAAUUCGACUUAUUCGAAGU